CCUACGGGGGGCAGCAGUGGGGAAUAUUGCACAAUGGGCGAAAGCCUGAUGCAGCGACGCCGCGUGAGUGAAGAAGUAUUUCGGUAUGUAAAGCUCUAUCAGCAGGGAAGAAAAUGACGGUACCUGACUAAGAAGCCCCGGCUAACUACGUGCCAGCAGCCGCGGUAAUACGUAGGGGGCAAGCGUUAUCCGGAUUUACUGGGUGUAAAGGGAGUGUAGGUGGCAUAACAAGUCAGAAGUGAAAGCCCGGGGCUCAACCGCGGGACUGCUUUUGAAACUGUUAAGCUUGAGUGCAGGAGAGGUAA
rnacentral:rRNA from 1 species